CCUACGGGAGGCAGCAGUGAGGAAUAUUGGUCAAUGGCCGGAAGUCUGAACCAGCCAUGCCGCGUGCGGGAAGACGGCUCUAUGAGUUGUAGACUGCUUUUGUAGGAGGAUAAACCUGCAUACGUGUCUUCAGCUGAAAGUACUGGAAGAAUAAGGAUCGGCUAACUCCGUGCCAGCAGCCGCGGUAAUACGGAGGAUCCGAGCGUUAUCCGGAUUUAUUGGGUUUAAAGGGUGCGUAGGCGGAUGGAUAAGUUAGAGGUGAAAUGUCCGAGCUUAACUCGGGAACUGCCUCUAAUACUGGUGAUCUAGAGAGUAGAUGCGGUAGGCGGAAUGUAUGGUGUAGCGGUGAAAUGCUUAGAGAUCACACAGAACACCGAUUGCGAAGGCAGCGUACCAAUCCAUAUCUGACGUUGAGGCACGAAAGCGCGGGGAGCAAACAGGAUUAGAUACCCGAGUAGUC
rnacentral:rRNA from 1 species